rfam:Triticum aestivum genome assembly, contig: Triticum_aestivum_CS42_TGACv1_scaffold_095808_2AL
UGUAUACUCCCUCCGCCCGGAAUUACUUGUCGGAGAAAUGAAUGUAUCUAGACGUAUUUUAGUUCUAGAUAUAUCCAUUUCUCCGACAAGUAUUUCCGGACGGAGCGAGUAUAUA